rnacentral:lncRNA from 1 species
UUGUCUAAUCGAGCCAUGGAUCCAAAGGAACUCAGCAUAUAAUUAAAUGAAGAUGUGCAUGUGUGGUGGAGUAAAUGAUAGUGACGUGAAAAUAUAAGUAAUGAUAAAGCUUACUUCUCAUUGCUCCUCAUAUUGCUACCUCUCCUCUUCUUUGAUCUUUGCUUUGGGAGAACAUGGGCUAUCUUUCUCUUUUUUUUCAGGUGGGUAGUAGAUACCCCUAAUUCUACUCCGGACACUUGUCCAUUUUUACCUCUCGUCUCACUCUUUUUUCUUUCUUUUCCGAGGUUCCGGGCACUUGCCCCUUUUUAUUUCCUCACAUAUUUUUGCAUAACCCAUGCCUCUUCUGCAUUGAAUCUUUUUAGAGAGAGAGAAUAACAAUACUUGGAACAGUGAGUGAUAAUAUCUUUAGCAAUUUUAAUGAAUGGUGGAUGGUGUAGUGGAUGUGUGCA